UAUGAUUCUCACCUGCAUGCAUGAGGGUUUACCAGAAGCUCAGAUAUAUACUGUUGGGGCACACGCUACUCCUGCUGGGCUUAAGGGUUAUCCCACGUGGGAAGAAUACCAGGUGCAGAGGGGGGCAUCAGAAGAAGAUAUUUGGACCCCCCAUGGCCACCCAGGGGCCCCAUUGGCCUCAGCUGGGGGGCAGCCAGUUCUGCCAGGAGGCAGCAGCGGGUCAAGGCUGUGGCCUGCAAGAUGUGUGUGUGUGUGUUUUCCUCUUCAGCCAUACACUGCAGCAGCUGGUGCUGAGCCAAGCUCUCCUGACACAGUCCAAGUCAUGCAUCACAUGCAAAUGGUAUGUUGAAGGGACCGGCAAGCUUGGUGUAAAAUGAUUUCCAGCCAUAAAGUGAUUUAGAUUAAUGUGGGAGACAAGAGCACCAAGUUCACAGUGGCAACCUAGUCCUUGCCAACUCUCAGGCCUAUUUGCUUGUCUCCCCUCUGCCUGAGACAGCAGAGUUGCCACCAUAGGUACUCCUUCAUCUUCCUCUUCUUUGCCUAGGAGGGGAUCCCAAGGCCAGCCAGAGGUCUCCAAGUGGUAUGGUGCUGGUGCGGUGAACACAUGCUCGGCUUCUCCUCGCAGGGAGGAGGCAGGCAAGGAAGAGCUGGCUGCAGCAGGGUGGACAUGCCUUUCAACUCCAUCUGACCCUAACCCUAAGCCCCCAACAGACAACAGUUGUACUCUGUUCACCCAACCUGGUGUUUUGCAAUCACCUACCAUUGAGAUGAAGAAAUAGGUGCCAGUGAGCGCCAGUCCUCCUGUGAUGUGGAGCAAAGAUGGGGGGGGGACCCUUCAAAGUAGUCUCAAGAGCAGCCCUCCAAGGGUCACUGAGCCACUGGCUGGACGUGGAUGGGUGUUGCAGCCUGGUCUCUGGAGGGUGGCAUGCUGCCCAUCCCCAGCCAAAUGUCCAGUGGCUGCCUCUGCCUCACCUAAUCCCCCUCCAGGUGCCUUGGCUGCAGCCCCUUCUUGGCUUUUCCUUCCCCCUUUUAUCCGCUGUGUGGGGAAGGUCAGGCCACCAGGAGAGAGGGACCCAAGGGACAGGUGGCACCCCCAGCUGCCUCUCUGGCUCCACCACGUGCCUUCCACCCUCAGCCUGGUUUGGCCGGGACCCUCCCGAUUAAUCCUCUCUUGCCCCACUUUUUCAGCUCUUUAAAAUGUUGAGAGCCAGCACAGUGAACUACAGGGUUGGGGAGGCUGCUUGGGGCCCUUGGGGCUGUUCCUGUGGGACCCAGGGCCACAGAAGCAUCUAUAUAUGUGUGUUGGCUCUCAACAUUUUAAAAAGCUGAAAAAGUGGGAUGACAGAGAAUUAAUUCAAGGGUCCUGGUCAAGCCAGGAUGGGUCUGGAGGGCACACGGUGGAGACAGUGAAGCGGGGAGUGCCACCCCAACACCCCAUGCCUUGAGGGCAAGUGGUUUUGCAAAUCACACACACCCCUACCUUUGCAACAUGGGAUCUGCUGUGGGGAACGUUUUAUCAUGGGUUAUCACCUCCCCCCCCACUGGGGAAGAAAGGCAGGGCUGCUAGGGCUGGUCAGGGUGAAGGGCCAAAGCCAGAGGCUUUAGUAAGCACAGCAACUUGCUCUGAGGAAAGGUCACAAGACUUGGGGUUGGGGGGGUCCCUUGACUGGAUGCAGACAUUGAAAUGCCUGCCAACUCCACCUGACCCUAACCCUAAGCCCAAAACAGACAACAGUUGUACUCCGCUCACCCAACCUGGUGUUUUGCAAUCACCUGACAUAGAGAUGAAGAAAUAGGUGCCAGUGAGCGCCAGUCCUCCUGUGAUGUGGAGCAAAGAUGGGGGGGGGGGGAACCCUUCAAAGUACAGUAGUCUCAAGAGUAGCCCUCUCCCUCCCCAUCCGAAAGGCCCAGAAGUCUCCUCUGGCAAAGUGGACCGGCACUGCUACCCAGUGGAGAGACUGAGGUAUUGCCAGUUCCCAAAGGAUGCGUGCUUCGGUGGGAGGAAGGUGCUGGUGGAGCGGUCAGAGAAUGGGUCCUGAUCCAACCCCCCUCCCCUACUCCAAGACAGACCACCUCCAAAUGCUAGGGAAUGGGAGGGGGAGAGGAACCACUCAUUGGCCCUUGGUUAAGAAGUGGUUAAUUUGCUUUGGGGCCUUGCUUGGCUUUUAAUUCCCUGCCUGCUUGAGGCAGCAGCAGAACUGGGGGCUCUGCAGGAUGCACACACACACUGUUUGGAAAGAAAGAAUGAAAGAGUGAUGGCAGCAAAGGUCAGGGGACACCAAGUGGCAGCAUGGAGCAAGCCCCCCCCCAGUGACCUCCUUGGUUUUGGAGGGGAGUGUCUCUGGGUGCUUAUGCUGGACACAGUUUCCAGGCCGACAUCCCACCCCACCCCACCCCAAAUCCUGGAGCUGCCCAGGAAAACACCUGCGGAUAAUGCAGAUGGCAGGAGGGAGCGCUGGACCCUUAAUGUCCUCCUCUUCCUCCUGCAGCUUUGGGGUUCAUCAGAGGAUAGCAGAGUCCUGAGCAGGAGCUGUAAUUAAAGCAGACAGCGCGGCAAUCCCUUAAUCGGGCCGCUUGCCCUUCUCUCUCAGCAGCCGAGAGGAAAGUUUCACAGCUGAAGUUAAAAAAGGAAAACGGAGGAAGCUCCGGCUGAUGCUGCUUUUAAUCAGAUUUGCCCUCCUAAGCUCUUCUCACUGCCAGCCCAGCCAGCUGCCCUCUCAACCCCGGGGAGCUGCCUGGUGCCAGAGGAGGACAGGAGGACAGACAGACAGAGGGCCUGAGGUGGUGUGGGCCCACUGCGGUCAAGUGGAGGGCCACGGUUCACCUCUCCAGGCGGCGGUGCCACCUUACCAGGUGCAGGGGCUUCCCUGGGGCCAGAGGGGCUCUUUCCUCACAAGGCAAACCCAGCGGCAAACCAAGGCGCCACACGGGUACAGGGGAAGGCUCCUUGGUCAAAACAGGCCCUGCCCUUCCCACCUCACAGCUUCUCAGGCCCUGAUCCACUCUGGGGUAGGCAAACACAAAGGGAAGCCAGUCAGGUCAACUAACAAAAAGAUUUGACAAGCCUUAGCUGGCCAAAAAGACAAUUUUAUAUGUAUAAGCUUAGCUUCAGAUCAGGGUGGGCAAAGCAUGGCAGGAGGGACAAAUGCCCCCCCAAAGGCUGUUUGACCCCCCAAUCACUCUGGAGACCCCCUCCCCUCAGGAAAAAAUCAGCCAAAGAGCAGACCAGGAUUGCCACACCUGGAGGCUUUGAUCCAAUGUUGUGGUUUUCCAGGAUGGAAGCCAAUGCCACCCAAAAACUUAUGGAGGGGAGAUUGGAAGGGGUCAUUCUUUCUUUGUUUAGCUGUCAAUUUUAUUUUGCAUUUUUGGGCCAAAUGUCAUCAACAGAAGAUCCCAGUGGCUGAAAACUGUCCCCCGGCCUCCCUUUAAAUCUUGGAGGAAAUAUGUCUCAUGUAUUUUAGCAUUAGGUCCUUCCACUUUUGAGGAAGAUGCCCACCCCAAAGCCUAAAGGAUGACCUCAAAGAGAAAGAAAAGGGCUGGUCCCUGGGAGCCAGAGGCCUUGCCAGGGCCACCCAGAGGGCAAAGCGGCAACGGAGUGGGGUGGCUACUGAGGCUGACACCAAUUUCUCCUCCCCAAAAAAGUCAGGGAGUCAACCGAGAAGCUGCAGCAGUGUCCAGGA